UGAGCAAUCUGCCCUCCUCUUCGGAAUAAGCGUUGGAAACGACGUCUAAUGCCGAAUACGACCUCCUUUCGCAUGAUCGGAGGUGGAAAGCUCCGGCGGAGAAGGAUGAGCUCGCGGCCUAUCAGCUAGUUGGUGUGGGUAAUGGCCCACCAAGGCGACGACGGGUAGCCGGCCUGAGAGGGUGACCGGCCACACUGGGACUGAGACACGGCCAGACUCCUAGGGAGGNAG
rnacentral:rRNA from 1 species